rnacentral:rRNA from 1 species
GAGGAAUAUUGGUCAAUGGGCGAGAGCCUGAACCAGCCAUGCCGCGUGCAGGAAGACGGUCCUAUGGAUUGUAAACUGCUUUUAUUUGGGAAUAAACUCCGGUACGUGUACCGGCCUGAAGGUACCAAAUGAAUAAGCACCGGCUAACUCCGUGCCAGCAGCCGCGGUAAUACGGAGGGUGCAAGCGUUAUCCGGAAUCAUUGGGUUUAAAGGGUCCGCAGGCGGUCUUAUAAGUCAGUGGUGAAAGCCUACAGCUCAACUGUAGAACUGCCAUUGAUACUGUAGGACUUGAAUUCGAUCGAAGUGGGCGGAAUAUGACAUGUAGCGGUGAAAUGCUUAGAUAUGUCAUAGAACACCGAUAGCGAAGGCAGCUCACUAGGUCUGGAUUGACGCUCAGGGACGAAAGCGUGGGGAGCAAAC